UACGUAGGUGGCGAGCGUUAUCCGGAAUUAUUGGGCGUAAAGAGCGCGCAGGUGGUUGAUUAAGUCUGAUGUGAAAGCCCACGGCUUAACCGUGGAGGGUCAUUGGAAACUGGUCGACUUGAGUGCAGAAGAGGGAAGUGGAAUUCCAUGUGUAGCGGUGUAAUGCGUAGAGAUAUGGAGGAACACCAGUGGCGAAGGCGGCUUCCUGGUCUGUAACUGACGCUGAGGCGCGAAAGCCAGGGGAGCAAACGGGAUUAGAUACCCGU
rnacentral:rRNA from 1 species